rnacentral:sRNA from 1 species
UCAUCCUACUGUCGAGGGUGACGCCUAAAU